GACGAACGCUGGCGGCGUGCUUAACACAUGCAAGUCGAACGGAAAGGCCUGCUUUCCCUUGUGGAUUGCGGGUACUCGAGUGGCGAACGGGUGAGUAACACGUGAGUGAUCUGCCCCCAACUUGGGUAUAAGCCUGGGAAACUGGGUCUAAUUCCCGAUAGGACUGCAGGGUGGUGCCUGUGGUGGAAAACGAUUUUCUAGUGGUUGGGGAUGAGCUCGCGGCCUAUCAGCUUGUUGGUGGGGUAAUGGCCUACCAAGGCGGCGACGGGUAGCCGGCCUGAGAGGGUGGACGGCCACAUUGGGACUGAGAUACGGCCCAGACUCCGACGGGAGGCAGCAGUGGGGAAUAUUGCACGAUGGGCGGAAGCCUGAUGCAGCGACGCCGCGUGGGGGAUGACGGCCUUCGGGUUGUAAACUCCUUUCGACCGCGAGGAAGCCACCUGGUUGGAAGGGUGGUGACGGUAGUGGUAGAAGAAGCACCGGCUAACUACGUG
rnacentral:rRNA from 1 species